GGAAAUAGACGAGACGCUGGUGUGCUUACCGAUAUUAAAAUCGAGUUUCAAUAUUAAGUUAUUGUAGGUGGGUUCGAUUCCCUCAUAAUUCCA
rnacentral:tRNA from 1 species